UACGGAGGGUGCAAGCGUUAAUCGGAAUUAUUGGGCGUAGAGGGCGCGUAGGUGGUUGUGUAAGUUGUUUGUGAAAUCCCCGGGCUUAACCUGGGAACUGCAAGCAAAACUGCAUAACUAGAGUGCAGUAGAGGGUGGCGGAAUUUCCGGUGUAGCGGUGAAAUGCGUAGAUAUCGGAAGGAACACCAGUGGCGAAGGCGGCUACCUGGACUGACACUGACGCUGAGGCGCGAAAGCGUGGGGAGCAAACAGG
rnacentral:rRNA from 1 species